CGCACCUUGCACUCUUUGGUAUUCCGAAGAGUAUGUCUGUUUGAGUGUCAUGAAUCUCUCAACCCCCUUAUUUUGUAAUAAAAUAAGAGCUUUGGGUUUGGAUUGUGGCCGUCUGCCGGCAUCGAUCGGCUCGGCUGAAAUACACUGAGCUGCCAACAGUCUUAUUAAAACGGCUUGACUCGGCGUAAUAAACUAUUUCGCUGAAGACGAUUUGAGGACGAAUGGCGCUUCUAAUGCGAUCUGUUAAAUCAGUGACUUUCAGUUUAGACCUCAAAUCAGUCAGGACUACCCGCUGAACUUAA
rnacentral:misc_RNA from 1 species